rnacentral:lncRNA from 1 species
CACAUGGAUUUGCACCAGCGCAAUCUCUCCUUCAGAGAUGCCCUCGCAGUCGACGGCGAUCACGGGCUGGCGCGCCAACAGCCUCGACGCAUGGCGGCACGCAUCGAGGGUGUCGAUCAAGCACACACCAUUGGGCAGGAGCGCACACUGGGGACCGUCUCUGCCGUCAGAGCCGAUUGCCGGCCACGCCCUCUGUCGAUAGGCCGCUGUGGUCUCGGUGUCAUUUGCCCACGCGCAGCGCACGCGCUUGUCGUUGUCACUGUCAUGUCCGGGCACAGUGCACACAAGCGACGCCGCUCGGUGAUCAACCACGUACAAGGCCAGUGUGGUGGCGCGUGCCGUGGGGAUGCCGCGCGCAACUAUGCGGGUGGCAAUUUCGUCGACGGUGGCGCCAUGUUUGCGCGCGCUGGGGUCAAAGAGCAGCCACGAGAGGACGUCGUCGCAAGCGCGCGCCUCGGCACCAAAGACGCCGUCGACGGCGACCGCACAGGGCGUGCGCACGGGCGAUAUCGUGCUCCCAUCGCCAAACAGAACCGCGGCCAGGCGGUCGGGUGCCAGGCACUUGUAGCCGACUCGCCCUGUCGUCAGGCACGCACGACGGAACCCGACGCCGCCGUUCCCAUUGUCAAUGGUUGACAGUAUAAAAGCCUUGCAGGCGAGAGCGUCGGCCCACGCGGCGUCGGCAAGGACCUCUGCAAAUUGUGCCACCUUGGCAGCGGCAUCGGCAGCGUUGUCGGCGUGAAUGAUGAUCUCGUCGCUGUUCCACGCCGCCAGGUCCGUGGGUGCACACGCGCCGGCAUCGGCCAGUCGCUCAAAGGCUUGUACAGCGACGCGCGACCACAAGACACGCUGGAGGUCGGGUCGCAGUGCGUCCUGCGACAGGGCCAACAUGCGGAGACCCUUGGCGCGUGCCACGUAGGCGAUGGCGCCCUUGUCGGGGAGGACGUCGUCGCGUACGACAAAUGCCUCCCACGAGGCCUCGGCAAUGAGGCCGGCGUGACGGAGGGGUUGAAAGUUGGCCGCGAUAAUAUCGAUCGAGACAAAGCAACUGCCAUCAUUGGCCAUCUGGUAGAUGGUGGCCGUCUUGGACGUCGGGGCUUGAGGCUUUGCGCCACGCACGGGCCACACGGCGGCGACACACGGCAUCGGCGGCAGGGGCAGACUCGACCAAGUUGCAAAGGCCGGCGACGACGUGAGCAAGGCUGUUACGCGCGCCACGGUGCCACGGUGGAGGUCGACGAGGCGCUUUUCGCCGCCGAGGGUAACAAUGGCCAUGGUAACGGCCGCCAGUAGGCCUGCGCCGUCGACAUGGGGCAAGGUUACGUAGCGGUCGUUGCGCUCGCGCACACAGACACCUUGAUCGUCGGCCUCUUCCCGACUAUUGUUGUCGUGGUCGCCAUCAUCGCUUGAGUCCUUGUCGCGGCCAUGCGACGACCCUAUGGCAAAGAGGCGUACGCCGACAUAGCGUUGAAGGUGGGCGCGCGUGUCGGGCGACAGGUCGCGAAACAACAGGCGCAGCGGCCGCGGCGAGACGAGGAGCCAGCGCGAGGCGCCCGUGCCCAUACGCGCACAGUGCAACCCCAGUGCGCCUGUGAGCGCCGCCACCUCGCGCUGCUUGACGCCCGACGGACAGAUGGGCACAAUCACAUGGUCUGCGGUCGGCCACUGCUCCAACUUGGCCUGGGCGAGGGCCACCGCCGCUGCGGCGUCGGGCGCCUCGCGCGGUCUGGUCUGCCGAUCUGCGAUACCAUUCUCUGGUGCACGCUCGCUCUUUUCGCAUCCGGCCGUCGAGGACUGUCGUGUGCCAUUGGCCUUGCGUCCUUUCAUCGACCGAGGAAAAGGGAAAGACCAAAGAGGUUCCUUUGUUUGUUGGUUAUGUCUUGUGUAUGUUGAGAGCCUUUUUGCGGCCGCACAAUAGACUAGGCAUGUCAGCCGACCAGUGCGGUCGCUUUCAUUCAUAAUUGCG